GACGAACGCUGGCGGCGUGCCUAAUACAUGCAAGUCGAGCGAAUCGAUGGGAGCUUGCUCCCUGAGAUUAGCGGCGGACGGGUGAGUAACACGUGGGUAACCUGCCUGUAAGACUGGGAUAACUUCGGGAAACCGGAGCUAAUACCGGAUACUUUCUUUUCUCGCAUGAGGGAAGAUGGAAAGAUGGUUCUGCUAUCACUUACAGAUGGACCCGCGGCGCAUUAGCUAGUUGGUGAGGUAACGGCUCACCAAGGCAACGAUGCGUAGCCGACCUGAGAGGGUGAUCGGCCACACUGGGACUGAGACACGGCCCAGACUCCUACGGGAGGCAGCAGUAGGGAAUCUUCCGCAAUGGACGAAAGUCUGACGGAGCAACGCCGCGUGAGCGAAGAAGGCCUUCGGGUCGUAAAGCUCUGUUGUUAGGGAAGAACAAGUACGAGAGUAACUGCUCGUACAUUGACGGUACCUAACCAGAAAGCCACGGCUAACUACGUGCCAGCAGCCGCCGCGGUAA
rnacentral:rRNA from 1 species